CGGCGUGGAUUAGGCAUGCAAGUCGUACGCACAGCAAUGUGAGUGGCGCAAAGUGAGUAAUACGAAGGUAACCAACCCUGAAGUUGGGCAUAGCCGCGGGAAACUGCGGGUAAUUCCCAGCGACGUUGCGAGAUGGCAUCAUCUUGCAACCAAAGGUGUGAUUCCGCUUUAGGACGGGCCUUCGUGGUAUUAGGUAGUUGGUGAGGUAACGGCUCACCAAGCCUACGAUGCCUACCGGGUGUGAGAGCAUGACCCGGCACACUGGAACUGAGACACUGUCCAGACACCUACGGGUGGCUGCAGUCGAGAAUCUUCGGCAAUGGGCGAAAGCCUGACCGAGCGACGCCGCGUGAGGGAUUGAAGGCCUUCGGGUUGUAAACCUCUUUCGUAGAGGAGGAAGGGGCUGUGAAGAACAGUCCUUGACCUAUUCUAGGAAGAAGCUUGGGCUAAGUUCGUGCCAGCAGCCGCGGUAAGACGAACCAAGCGAACGUUAUUCGGAAUUACUGGGCUUAAAGCGCGUGUAGGCGGACUACCACGUUGGUUGUUGAAAUCCCCCGGCUUAACCGGGGAACUGGCACCAAUACGAGUAGUCUGGAGGUGGGUAGGGGAGACUGGAACUUCCGGUGGAGCGGUGAAAUGCGUUGAGAUCGGAAGGAACGCCCGCGGCGAAAGCGAGUCUCUGGACCCAUACUGACGCUGAGACGCGAAAGCCAGGGGAGCAAACGGGAUUAGAUACCCCGGUAGUCCUGGCUGUAAACAUUGGGCACUGGGUAGUGGAACCGCCGAUGGUUUCACUGCCGCAG
rnacentral:rRNA from 1 species